CAAAUAUGUCAAGCAUGUUUAGGACAAAUAUUAUAGAGAUCAAAGGAUAAAGAAUAGAGUGAAAUGGUUAAAACUAAAAGAUAUAGAAUUAUAGAAACGAUCGUUGAUCUGAAACCCUCCCUACACACACACACCAUACCCAUUGCUGCCAAUACUCGCAUAUAUAUACAUCUCUAUACAAAUAUCUAAAUUUGAAACUCCCC
rnacentral:lncRNA from 1 species